AUCGUUGCGAUUUGAUCGCCACGAUAUAGAAAAUGGCUGGUGAUUUUAAUCACCGGCCU
rnacentral:sRNA from 1 species